UCCUUUUACGGCUUUUAAAGGAUCUUA
rnacentral:tRNA from 1 species